rnacentral:sRNA from 2 species
UAAUAUUAGUGUUAGGUGAGGCUCCUAUAUGGAUACACGCUACUACCCGGAAACAUCGAGAGAUGCCAAUGGGUUAACAAAUAUUAUCGAACUAAGGUUUUAUUUAAUGUAGCUGGAUUUAUUCCAAAGCUGUAUAGUGCUAAAACUCUACGAAUAAUAACUAUA